AAAACAUGUCCUUUAGGUCUGGCCUGCCCGCUGAUUUGAAUGGCCGCAGUAUUUUAACUGUGCAAAGGUAGCAUAAUCAUUAGUCUUUUAAUUAAGGGCUUGUAUGAAUGGUUGGACGAGGUAUUGACUUUAUCAUGCGAAUUGAUUUAGAAUUUUAUUUUUUAGUUAAAAAGCUAAGAUGGUUUUGAAAGACGAGAAGACCCCAUAGAUCUUUAUAUUAUUGUGUUGGGGUGAUGUUAAAAUUUAUUUAACUUUUAAUAUAUUUUUACAUUAAUUGUUGGGCUUGUGAUCCGAUUUUAUCGAUUAUUAGUUUAAGUUACCUUGGGGAUAACAGCGUGAUUUUUCUGGAGAGUUCAUAUCGAUAGAAAAGAUUGCGACCUCGAUGUUGGAUUAAGAUAUAAUACUAGGUGCAGUAAUUUAGGUAUUAAGUCUGUUCGACUUUUGAUUUCUUACAUGA
rnacentral:rRNA from 1 species